rnacentral:miRNA from 1 species
CCGGCCGCAGCCAACCAGCUGAGCGCGGCCCUGCGCUCCGGGUCUGAGCGGGAGGAAGGGCCGCUCCCGCCCGGAGG